UCCUGCACUGUGGGCAGAAGUUUCGCGGGCCGGAUGGCACCGCGUCGCGGGCCGGAUAUGGCCCGAGGGCCGUAGGUUGGGCAUCCCUGAUUUAGCUUAAUGUGCAAUAAAGACUCAUUAUUUUCUACUUGUUUUCUCAAUUUAUUUCCAAUUUCGUCUGGUGAUGAAUCGGGAGCUAUUUUUCCUGUAUCCUUACUCGCUUUUUAAGUCCUCUGCGGAAUAGUGACUGAUGGCAUGCUUUUGCAUGGCUACAAAUAACAAGUUGACAUAUCUGAACAUUUUUUGAAUGAGUCUUACACCCCUGUGGUGUACAUACACUAAUUCGCACAUGUACCUAACAAGGCUCUGCAAUACAUUUCACCCGAUUAUUAUUAUUAUUAAUUAUUCUGACAUUCAUCACUUUUUUUAAAAAAGUAACAUUUGAAUCGUCUAGUAUUGUGUGUUUUAGUCUUGACAAUUCUUCAUCACAUUUUCUUCAUUUUAGAACUAAAUUGUGUGAGGUUUUUUAAAGUACCUUUGUAAGUCUGGACUAAGCUGGCGAUGUGGUCAAUCGAAAAGUUUUAUCCGAGACAUUUCUCCCUACUCAUGAUAAGGUUUAGAAUGAUAAUCUUAGUAAUAAAAGGAGCACUUGAAAAUUAAGCAUAAUUAUUUACUCAUAUUUUGGGAAUGGUUAUUUUAAAACAACCCGAUCAUAAAGAAAAAGUGCUGCCCUCGUGUUGCCCUUUAAAUCAGCUAAGCACAGUGUUUCUGCGCAUGCCUGCUUAACACUUCACGUGCUUCCAUAUACACGGCGAUUGCUUUUAGUGACAGGUGGGAAGCACGCAAGUGUACAUAUUACUUCCUUCCAUCGAUCAAUUUUGUAAAAAAUAUUUUCACCUGAGAAAAACAGGAUGGUGUGGUCAUAGUAUCAGUCUGAGGACACCUACAAGCGAAACACAGUCAAAGAGGCGCAACUCUUGCCAUCUCAGUCUAGGUUUACUUCCCCUUGCUAACUAACGAUUGAAAUGUCUCUAUAAAUAUUUUGAUCACGUGCCCAGAUGAGUAGAUCAGUUGCACUAGGCAAGCCUGCCAUAGCAAGGAAUUCAGCAAGCACUGAACGAACUAUUAUGUUCACUGACCAGUGCGACAUCACCACAGGUCAUCGAUCACAUUGUAGUUUAUUGAAAAUCACAACUGGUGGCGGAUUUUCAGCUGAAAUCAUCGAACUUUACGAUUCCAUUGGACAGAUCAUCAGUGCUGAGGGCUUUCAUCAGAAAACACGUAACCGUCAAUGACUCAUAUAUGUACAGAGUGAGAAAAGAAAAGACAAAAAAGAAAAUUUAGUUUAUACUCCAGCAAACAUUUUCAACUUUGAGCAAUGGAGUCCAUACAACGGACGGGAGGGUCAGCCGACUGUGAUGAUGGACUGUUUAGCUGUUUCAAGGACUGUUGUGUGAGGACGAUUCAGUUCUGCAACUCGCGAGAAAAACGAUGCCAAGAAUGCAGCCUACGGCAGGCAUUUUGUGGCAAAAACCAGACUUUGGUACCCUCGGAAUGCGACUUAUACUGCUACAAACAGCAGCCGCAGCACCUGCAGACAUGUCAGUCUGAAUGGAUUUUUUGGUCGGGCUGGAUUGUAGCUGCAGUGCUGGUUGUUGUCAUUAUAGGUUGGGGCCUGUACAAGGUCUGCAAGUCGUCCACAUGCUUCCACAAGAGCUCUUCAGGGUGUUCACCUUUGUUAGGUAGCAGCGACGAUGUAGACAUUGUUACCGAGACUCAAGAGAGGGAGAAUGUUGAUAACACAGAGCUCAAGCAAGGUGAGCAACAGAUGCCAGACAAUGUUCGGACUGUCACAGAGUUUCGACCGACUGGCAUCAACCCUACCACUCCAGAAUCUCUUUCACCUGUGAUAGCAAAUUAAUAACUAAACGACACAAUCUCAUGAGCCAGGGUACAGUCACCAACAAGUACAUUCCAUUCCUUCCCAUGCAAUAUUUGCAAUGACGAUGAUGAAGUUUUAGUUAAAGGUCCAGUGGAAUGCAGAUUGUUUUUCUAUCGACUGGGUGAAGCUCAGUGCAUGAUACCAUCUCCCCAACUGUAGAUGAACACCAUCCACAGAAAGAGGUCCAAUCGCGAUAUAUCGAGAACAGAAAGAUGGUUUCUUGCACUGCUUUAUCCAAUCAAAAGAAAAAUAUUGCAUUCCACCACUCCUUUAAGGACCGGCUUACAAAGAUUGGUUUACAGGGUUCAAUGAAGUAGCAGCCAUCAGAGAUAGGUACUUGUCAGUAUGUAUUUUCUUCUUAAGGAAAAAAACGAUCUGCUUUAUGUUUUGAUAAAAGGUCCAUGACAAACAACAAUCAUAAACAGAGUUCUGCUAUCACAUCAAACUUUGAAGUAUUUUUUUUAAAUUUUGAAGAACUAGGUGCCAGCAGAUCCCUUCACCCUCUCAGCAACACGCCUUAUCGGUUGUAAAAGGUCACAUCAUAGGGGUGAGUUGUAUAUGUUCUUCCGGGUGGGUACAAGUUACAAACACCUGGGUAUCAACCGGUUUUUAAGUAUUUCGACCAAUCAUGAACUCAGGUUCAUGUCCUGAAAUGUCACCACGAUGGUGAGAUAUCUGAUAAGUAUCACCGGAUCUCUUUUUCUGUAAUAUAUGUAUAUGUUUCACUCUGAUUUAGUGCAUACCGUUUAAAUGUUUUUCCUUGAAGAGAACUAUUCAGGAUUUCUAAUCAUCACAGCCUGCCUACUCGAAUUACAUUUUCUUCUUACCUUGGUUGUAGCUGACUCCACGAAGAAAUAAGUAGAUAUCUUGCAAGGCAGCAGUACGCCAAUUCUGUCCAGAAAAGCAUCUCAGGCAGCUUGGUAGUUCCAAUCACAAAAAGCACAAAUGUUUCUCUCGAAUGAUUCCAAACCACCAUAACACAUGUCCUGUUGACCUGUCACUCUGAGAACGAGGAAGUAGCAUGCUGUCACGCCAGUGGUUGGUCGUCUGAUCAAGUACUCAGGUGACAGGGAACGGAAGAUAUUUUAAGAAUAUCUGAAUGGUCAUCGUUCCGAAUCUGAAGUAUCGUCUCAUCUCAGCACCAAGGAAACAAGGGCAGGUCUAGAACAGCAGAAACAAUUAUUCCAUGAAGGAACUGUGAAUUGUAACAAUGUAGUUCUUACAAAGACGAUAUAAGUUUUGGUUAUUUUUUUCACGUUUAUAACGGUGUUCUCUGUUCUCUCUCUCUUGACAGCCAUUACUGUCCUAAUUAGUCUCGUGAUAUUAAUAUUUACUGUAGAGAUAUGGACGAUUUGCUAACACCAACCAAAGAAGACUUCACUGUGAACCUUGCCCUUUAGAAAUAUUAUCUGACCACCUGAUAUCAAAGGAUAUUUGUCACAGAGGAAAUAGACUCGUGAGAAAUGAGGCUCGAGGACCGAGUUCGAGAGACCACUCAGCUCGUACAAGAGCCAUGAGUCAUUUCUGGGUGUUAGAAAUCGUUAGUCAGGUUUAGGAUCGUGAACAAUUCCACGGUUAUGGUUUGUGAGUUUGCGAGCAGCAAGCCAUAACAUUAAUUCAUACCAGAUGUCGGACUAUAGUUUAUGAGGCAGUAACAUCAUAGAUGUGUAUAGGUGGUCUGUCUGCCAAGACCAACGCUUUGCUUCUUGCGAAGUUCUCCGCGUUAGUUUCGGCGAGCCUAAACAAAGAAUGUGACUAAACCGGAAGUCUCGUGCCUCGUUUUAGUAGUAAACUGGAAAAUAAAAUCUUCUGCCAGCAGUCCAGUAAUACAAGUUCGUGAUGACAUAAAAUCCUAUGAGAUGAAAGUGAAGUAUUACUCGGUGGCAACUUUUUCACCUAACCCACCCUGCAACAUUUUGUACGAUAUUUUCUAAUUCUCAUAAAUAUUAUUUUUUAUAUUAUAUUACUAUCAUAAUUAUUUGCAUUAUUUUGUUAUGCUGUGAUGUUUGUACAGAGACAUUCAUAUUGUUUUUAUUUGAAAUCGUCUGCAUAUACCGUGUUAAAUCUUCAAAUCUUGUCUUCGAACUUCUGCAGUCGCCACUACUGCUGCCAAGCUUUUGUUUUUCUCUGAAUCUGUAAGUUCAGUUACACGUUACUGUUUGUGGACAGGUUUUGUAGACAUGUUACAGAAAUUUAUUAUAAAAAUGUUAUGCUGUUGAGUACAAAUGGCUAGAGAAGUUGUCCCCAACCGUUUUCUGGGGACAAAUGUGUUCAUAACUGAUUCACAAAACAUUGCCAUGUCACAAACACUGUCAUGUACUAUUGCUCUUAAGAACAUCAGAGUAUUCAAUCAGCCUAUUGGUCUUGUGUUCUAACAAUUGUUGCAUCGGAGGUCUGAGUAAACGUGCCUCAGAAAACUCUUUGGGGUCUUGUUGUCCAAACUAUGACUACAGAUAUUGUUUAGAGAUAUGAUUGUCAUGUAAAACUUCCCCUAUAGUCAUUGGUACCAAAGAAGGACUUUUACAGACGUAGAAAAAAAAUUAUCCAAUGACAGUCGCGAAAAAAAAGUUAAAAACAGAAGUAGUUAUGGUUUAGAACCCUCAGAACCAUUAGGCAAUUUUUUCCAUGCUCUCAAGUGGGUUUCCUGAAAAGCAAUCGUUAACACCUUUUUGACCUCUUGAAUUUGUUGCCCUCAACCUAGUCAUUGUUGAAGCUGUCGCAUGUCACAUUGGGUUUUCACGAUUCAUUGAGCGAGUAUUGAGACGGGGCAGUAUCUUUGUCUACCGUUAUGAGUAAGUAUUGAAACAGAGAAGUUAAAAGAACAGAUAGAGUAUAUUUACUUUUUGGCUCAGAAAUAUUUUAUCUAAAGCGAGUUCCUCAAGUUGUUUGUGUACGUUUACUUCGGAGGCAUCUUGUUACCACAAAGUUUCAAUAAAGAAGUUAUUUCACGUA